AGCAGUCGCCGCGGUAAUACGGGGGGGGCAAGUGUUAUUCGGAAUGACUGGGCGUAAAGGGCACGUAGGCGGUGAAAAGGGUGGAAAGUGAAAGUCGCCAAAACACUGGCGGGGUGCUUUCUUGACCAUUUCACUUGAGUGAGAUAGGGGAGAGUGGAAUUUCGUGUGGAGGGAUCAAAUCCUAAGAUAUACGAAGGAACGCCAACCGCGAAGGCAGCUCUCUGGGUCCCCACUGACGCUGGGGUGCGAAAGCAUGGGGAGCAAACAGGAUCAGAUACCCGCGUAGUCCCUGUCUCUUAUACA
rnacentral:rRNA from 1 species